UAAAGUCUAGAAAGCCCAGGGUAG
rnacentral:misc_RNA from 1 species